rnacentral:rRNA from 1 species
CCUACGGGCGGCAGCAGUGGGGAAUAUUGGACAAUGGGGGGAACCCUGAUCCAGCGACGCCGCGUGAGUGAAGAAGUAUUUCGGUAUGUAAAGCCCUAUCAGUAGGGAAGAAUAUGACGGUACCUGACUAAGAAGCCCCGGCUAACUACGUGCCAGCAGCCGCGGUAAUACGUAGGGGGCAAGCGUUAUCCGGAUUUACUGGGUGUAAAGGGUGCGUAGGCGGUGGAGCAAGUCUGAUGUGAAAGGGCGGGGCCUAACCCCGGGACUGCAUUGGAAACUGUUGAACUGGAGUACAGGAGAGGUAAGCGGAAUUCCUGGUGUAGCGGUGAAAUCCGUAGAUAUUAAGAGGAACACCAGUGGCGAAGGCGGCUUACUGGACUGUAACUGACGUUGAGGCACGAAAGCGUGGGGAGCAAACAGGAUUAGAUACCCUAGUAGUC